rnacentral:tRNA from 1 species
GAGACUUUAGUCGAGUGGUCAAGCCACGCGUGGCUUUCAAGCACUCAAACUUACUCACCGACCUAGCGUGGGUUCGAAUCCCAAGCUGGUCUUA